rnacentral:rRNA from 1 species
UACGUGGGGGGCGAGCGUUGUCCGGAUUCACUGGGCGUAAAGCGCACGUAGGCGGACUCUUAAGUCGGUGGUGAAAUCCUGGAGCUCAACUCCAGAACUGCCUUCGAUACUGAGAGUCUCGAGUCCGGGAGAGGUGAGUGGAACUGCGAGUGUAGAGGUGAAAUUCGUAGAUAUUCGCAAGAACACCAGUGGCGAAGGCGGCUCACUGGCCCGGUACUGACGCUGAGGUGCGAAAGCGUGGGGAGCAAACAGG